rnacentral:rRNA from 1 species
UACGUAGGGUCCGAGCGUUGUCCGGAAUUACUGGGCGUAAAGAGCUCGUAGGUGGUUUGUCGCGUUGUUCGUGAAAACUCACAGCUUAACUGUGGGCGUGCGGGCGAUACGGGCAGACUUGAGUACUGCAGGGGAGACUGGAAUUCCUGGUGUAGCGGUGGAAUGCGCAGAUAUCAGGAGGAACACCGGUGGCGAAGGCGGUUCUCUGGGCCUUACCUGACGCUGAGGAGCGAAAGCGUGGGGGAGCGAACAGG